rnacentral:lncRNA from 10 species
CAAGGAAGCUGAGAAGUUCCUCAUUCUGGUUUCUUGUUUGUGAAAUCUAUUUAUGUAUGAUUUUGCUAAUGAUUUGGCAAUUACUAGGUAAAUUUGACCAAUAUGAAUGGCCAACCUAAUAAUUUAUGUCACAAAAAACAUUCUAAAGUUUGAAUGAUCUGUAUUUCUGCCCACAUUUAUUUUUGAAUAUUGAGUUUUCUAGACAUUUAUUCACUUAUUACAGUGUAGACAGAAAUCUAUGUGCAUAUUUAUAAGCUGUUUUCAUCAAAGCUACUGCUGCCACCUAAGCCACAUGCAGCCAACAACAAAUGGUCAGAUUACUCUCAUGGAAAUCAUACAUUAAAUGCAUAGAAAAUCUGCAAACCUUAUCUCAGACAGUGGUUUUAGUUUCUCCCCUCAGCGGAUCUCUUAUGAAAGCUGUUAACAGGUUGAUUGGAAUUUUCUAUCCUCUCCACCCUCUGGUGGAAACACUAAUAAGCAAUGAAAUGGCUAAAGCACAGUGCAGAGAGGAUAAGCAAAGGCCCUGAAGACCCUCCAGCUUCAUAAUCACAUCCUGAAUAAUCAGCAAUUGACAGAAGGUCCACAAACAAAGUGCUUUCUCCAUACUCUGCAGCAAACUGAGCAAAGACGGUGAAACCUCAAUGUUACGCAUACACUUGUUCUGAAGUUACUCGACAGGCUGCCUAAGGAGGUGAAAUCAAAAUCUGAUUUGCUAUUACUGCCAGUCAGAUUUCUCUGGUAGUAUUAGCUAUCUUUAAGACACAUUUCCAUGGCAACUAGUUUAAAAACAUAUUUACCUAUAGAGCCUUUUGUGUUAUGAAAGCCAGAAUAACCUAAGUGGACUUUCUUGUGAUAGCUCUUUGCCAACAGGACAGCGACUCUGAAGCAUGGGGCUGAGUAGGACAGCCCCUCAUGUACAGGCAGUGUGGUAUCUGGUGUCCUGGGCCAGACCGGCCUUCAGGGUACUGGGGAAGCCAGCUUGUUAGAUUUUCUUGAGUCACCAUUUCUCUCCUUGGGGCCAGCCUCGUCUGCCUCCUUCCUAGGCUUUCUCAAACCCCAUUCUGCUGCUGGAGCCCUACCACCUGUUCCAGGCUAAUUUGUCCAGCCCUGCCCCAGAUGCUGAGGCCAAUCAGAAUGUGAUUGUGUCAUGCACAUGUAUGUUUAUUGCAGCACUAUUUACAAUAGCAAAGACUUGGAACCAACUCAAAUGUCCAUCAAUGACAGACUGGAUAAACAAAAUGUGGCACAAAUACACCAUGGAAUACUAUGCAGCCAUAAAAAAGAAUGAGUUCAUGUCCUUUGCAGGGACAUGGAUGAAGUGGGAAGUCAUCAUUCUCAACAAAUUAACACAGGAACAGAAAACCAAACACCUGACUUCAAACUAUACUACAAGGCUACGGUAACCAAAACAGCAUGGUACUGGUACCAAAGCAGUGAUACAGACCAAUGGAACAGAACAGAGCCCUCAGAAAUAAUACCACACGUCUACAACUAUCUGAUCUUUGACAAAUCUGACAAAAAC